AGUGAACGCUGGCGGUAGGCCUAACACAUGCAAGUCGAACGGCAGCACAGUAAGAGCUUGCUCUUACGGGUGGCGAGUGGCGGACGGGUGAGGAAUACAUCGGAAUCUACUUUUUCGUGGGGGAUAACGUAGGGAAACUUACGCUAAUACCGCAUACGACCUACGGGUGAAAGCAGGGGAUCUUCGGACCUUGCGCGAUUGAAUGAGCCGAUGUCGGAUUAGCUAGUUGGCGGGGUAAAGGCCCACCAAGGCGACGAUCCGUAGCUGGUCUGAGAGGAUGAUCACCCCCACGGGAAAGGAAACCCGGCCAAGACCCAGAGGGGGGGGAGGAGGGGGAAAUUUGGGAAAAGGGGCGAAAGCCUGACCAGCCCAACCCGGGGGGGUGAAGAAGCCCUUGGGGUUGUAAAGCCUUUUUUUGGGAAAAAAAAAGAAGCGGUUUAAUCCCCCGUUUUUUUGGGGGUCCCAAAAAAAAAAGCCCCGGCAAACUUCG
rnacentral:rRNA from 1 species